GUCUACACUUUUUUUAGAAAAAAA
rnacentral:tRNA from 1 species